rnacentral:tRNA from 1 species
ACUUGGCUGGCUCAUUUGGUAGAGCACAUGACUCUUAAUCACAAGAUCUUGAGUUCAAGCCUCACACUGGGCA